UAGCCUUGACAUUGAAGAAACACACUAGAGAUAGAGUGGUACCCUUCGGGGAAUCUGAAAACAGGUGCUGCACGGCUGUCGUCAGCUCGUGUCGUGAGAUGUUGGGUUAAGUCCCGCAACGAGCGCAACCCUCGUCCUUAGUUGCCAGCAGGUUAAGCUGGGCACUCUAAGGAGACUGCCUUCGUAAGGAGGAGGAAGGUGAGGACGACGUCAAGUCAUCAUGGCCCUUAUGGCUAGGGCUACACACGUGCUACAAUGGGGCGUACAGAGAGUUGCGAUACCGCGAGGUGGAGCCAAUCUCAUAAAGCGUCUCUCAGUUCGGAUUGAAGUCUGCAACUCGACUUCAUGAAGCUGGAAUCACUAGUAAUCGUAGAUCAGCAAUGCUACGGUGAAUACGUUCCCGGGUCU
rnacentral:rRNA from 1 species